ensembl:miRNA
GGAUGGUGAAAUGAUCUGAAGCUUGUAGGUUUUGUGGUUUUGUUUGACAGAUUACAUGUUAAAUUUAAUCAUCUCAACAUGCAUCCAUCAGUGUUUUACUAAUCU